UUGAGCGGAGAUAUAUGGAGCUUGCUUUAUAUAACUUAGCAGCGAACGGGUGAGUAACACGUAGAUAAUCUAUCCUAUACUGGGGGAUAGCCCGAUGAAAGUUGGAUUAAUACCGCAUAUAGCUAUAUAGUUGCAUGAUUAUGUAGUGAAAGAUUUAUUGGUAUAGGAGGAGUCUGCGGCACAUUAGCUAGUAGGUGAGGUAAAGGCUUACCUAGGCGACGAUGUGUAGCCGGUCUGAGAGGAUGAACGGCCACAAUGGAACUGAGACACGGUCCAUACUCCUACGGGAGGCAGCAGUGGGGAAUAUUGCACAAUGGGGGAAACCCUGAUGCAGCAACGCCGCGUGAGUGAAGAAGGUUUUCGGAUUGUAAAGCUCUGUUAGCAGGGAAGAGGAAGGACGGUACCUGCAGAGGAAGCCACGGCUAACUACGUGCCAGCAGCCGCGGUAAUACGUAGGUGGCAAGCGUUGUUCGGAAUAACUGGGCGUAAAGGAUGCGUAGGCGGUUAAACAAGUUAUAUGUUAAAUAUAUAGGCUUAACCUGUAGAAAGCAUAUAAAACUGUUUAACUAGAGUGCAGGAGAGGUAAGUGGAAUUCCUAGUGUAGCGGUGAAAUGCGUAGAGAUUAGGAAGAACACCAGUGGCGAAGGCGACUUACUGGACUGUAACUGACGCUGAGGCAUGAGAGCAUGGGGAGCAAACAGGAUUAGAUACCCUGGUAGUCCAUGCUGUAAACGAUGGGUACUAGGUGUGGGUUGUGAAUAACAAUUCGUGCCGUCGCAAACGCA
rnacentral:rRNA from 1 species